GGGGCCUCUCCCGGGGCCCCGAGUCCCCCCCCGCCGGUCCGGAGCCGCCCUCAGGCGUGAGGGGUCACCACGGGCAUGGCCUCGAGAUGUGGUGGCCCCAGGCACCCACAUGGUGGGGUUUGUACCGUGGAAAGCCAGGGAUCACAACAGCUGGCUAAGAAUUCCCACUGCAGCAUGUACACAAAGAGCAAGAGGCAACGCCUUGAAAAAUUUACAGUAGGAAAGACAGACCCUAAGGAAUGGGACUUACCAUGUAAGUAGAGUGAUAAAUUUCAGAUGCUGCACAAGGCCAGCAAUUGUUUGUCAUGUGCACAGACCCUUAUUGAGGGACAGUCUCUGCCCCACAGGAUUUAGACUGGGCAGGGCAGAGAGGGAAGGGGAAACAGUAAUGUAGGAGAGCUGAACUGCAGCUGCACACACAAAGUUAUGGUGACAGUAUCACUGUAAGAGAAGGCCAUGACACAGCAGGUGUACACUCAAGGUGAUUCACUUUGUUUACAGAACAAAUGUACAAAAUUGUUUUUCAGCUGUGCUUUUCCUCGCAGUGCCAGCACUGCUUUGACCCUCAGUAAACCCUGGAAAUACAGUUUUCAAAAUCAAAGCUCCCAGUCUCCUUCACUUUCAGCUGCUUCUCUGUCUCCAUUUCUGCAGUUUCUUGCUGUUUCUCUCGCACAUGCAGAGCUCUACCAUCUGGUCCUCACGGCCUGGUAUUUUACACACACGCCCCCACCCCGAAAAAUCCCUUGGGCCACAUGAUUCACCAUCUAUUCAAACCUUGCCAUGUGCUUGGGUUUUUUUGUGUAGUAGCCCCUACUGAUGUAAAUCCCUUGUUCCAUAAGGGCUCUCAAUUGCUUUUUUCACUGAAGGCAAGGUGGCUGUGACACCUGCCAGUUUCUAAGACAUUUAACCCAACCCAAAACAUUAUUACAUUGUUGUUUGGCUGAGUAGGAACCAUAUUUUUUUCCCAGUGGGAAGUGCUGCCAGAAAGGCAUUAACUUUCUAGACUAUUAAGUAAUAUGGAAAAAUGAUAUUUCAAUAAGAAAAUUUCCUUUCUGCCUUUUUAUGCCUCAGAAAUAGUUCCUGUUUCACUUGGCUCAAGUAGCCUGUGCACUAAAUCAGUGCAAAAAUCUUUCAAUAAACUAAAUAAAAUCUGUCCAAAUGCUACCAGAGAGUUUAGAGGGCUGUGAAACAGAACAGGACAAGGGUCUGCAAAGGGAGGUGUGAGCUGAAUUAAGACACACAACUCAGCAAAAUCAGGCAGUGAAUAUUCAGGCACUUUGAUGUAGUUUGGACAGAUUUUAUUCAUAAACCACACACUGAUGACUACCUAGAGAGCAGCUAUUUAUAAGGAACACAGACUGUUUCUUGGGUUGUUUUCUCUGGUAUGCUUUAAAUCAGAGGUGCCAACUAUGUGGGCCAAACAUGGCCUACCUGAUACAGGCAUGGCCAACAUGCUGCAUUUAGAAUCUCACCUUUCAUUUGAAACUGAGUUCUUGGCUUUGCAGCUGUGGGGGAAAAAAACCACCCCACUUUACAAAGUGAAGUGGGUGCAAAUCAAUGUGGUAAAGCCUCGGCCUGAUGCUGCAGGGGCUUAGGGGCAGUUUCAAGUUUCUGUUGCUCACUAAAGUGUGAACUCUCAAGCCAAAUUCUGUUGUGAAAAACGGGUAACACAAGGUUAAGAUCAUCCCAUGCUUUUCUGGAACAUCAAGCACAAUGACUGAUCUCUGAAAAGCAUGAAAUGAACACACCAGUGCCUGCCAACACCUCCAUGGCUCUGCCCCCGCCGAGCUGGGCAAUGUGUGUCUCCCAGAUGUGCUGGCACAGCUUCCCUGAGCCAUGGGGAGGAAUUUGACAACACAGGCUGGCAGAGCCAUUGCAGAGAUGCUGGAUCUCAUCCUCUGUGCUGAGAACUGAAUCUGGAGGUUUGACAGAGGGAUUCAAAACGCCUUCUCUCAGGUGAGAUCUGCAGUUGUGCUUGUGUUGGUAGCUGGGGUUGGUUUUACCAUGGGAACAGGCAGAGGCAGCGGGUUCAGGAGUGAGACACAGCUGUGCUCAUGGCUCAGAGAGCACAGGGCUCUGCUACAGAUCUGCAUGAAAUCAGUCACCACUGGAUGCUCUUCUGCAUCCAGAUCUGCAGCAGAGAAUAAAUCCCAUCAGGAAGUAAUUUUGGGAAAUUUAGGGAAAGAGGAUGUUGCAACGCAAUGCAUUCUUACCCAGUAUCUGACCGCUCCCUUUAGUGUACACCCCUAAAAUCCCUCUGGCUUAUGCCUUCCUGUGUUUUCAUUACCCAACACUCCACCUGACCCAGCAAGCACUGAAAUGUUAUUUUUUCAAAAUUGGAGCAUUCUCCACAGUAUCUGCUUUCUUCAGAUCACUUUGCCCUUCUUCUCCAUUCCCAAAUUAUGUAAUUCCUUGUAGAGAGAGAUUUUCUUUUAAUAUUCUUGCUGGUUCAGAGUCAAGGGAGGACUGAAUCCAAGAGGACUGUAUGUUAAUAAAGAUGACAACAGCACCAGGGCAGGAGUUGCAUUCAGCUUCUUUAAUUUACACAGCAGGGAUUAAUAUGGAGUAGGUGAGUCAACUGUGGAUGGCCAAAUCUGGGUUACACUCCCCAGAGAUCAGCUGGAGGAUUCCACUAAACCUGAAACAUGUGGAGUUGUACUUUUUUUGUAAGGCUUUCAGAACAUCAAGUUCAAGUGAACCCGGGCUUGGCUUCCUAAAUAUGCUUUCUGCCAUGUGAGUUACAGUGCAGCCUGAGCAAGUGUGUGUUUUUCAGAGCCAUUGGAAGAGUCAGGCUUUGAUCAACACCUCGUUCCUGCACUGGCUAUGCAAUAGCCAUCACUCUUGCACCUGCUCUCAAAUGUUUUGGACAAGAAUGUGGGGAAACUGGGAAUAUUCAUGGGAGGAGCAAAAAAGAUGGUAAAAGGACUGUGGAUGAAAUAGGGGCAGGUUUUUGCUGAGUAGUGCAUGGCACUGACAUUAAAAGGCAGUUAACAUGAAGUGUGCAUCUUCCCCUUGAUAUUUGUGCAAACUUCCCACAGGAAGGCAGCAAGGGCAGACUGAAGGGAUGAUAAAAUCCUCUCUUUCUAUCCCAAUAGGACACACCAUAAUUUCUGCCUGUUUUUUGUGGAGUGCUAGAUGUAUGGGGAGAGCUAAGCUAAGCUUGCUCUGCUGUUAUCUGUCUGGGAAGCAGCUCACACCUUGAGAUGGAGUUUUGGCAGGAGCCAGAGACUUGUGGCUUGUCAGAGCAUUGCCAGGCAAAGGACAGGCCCAGACUGUGUUUCUUUCAGACCUGAGAGCAGCCAUAACCCGGCCAGAGCAAAGCCUGCACAGGAAGAGCGAUGUUCAGAGCAGGCUAAUUAAUAACUAGAGGCACUGGAAAUGGUUGUAACUGUGUCAUGUUUGCUUUAGAGCUGUGAUUUUUGGCCUGUGCCCGAGUUGUGGGAGCUGGACAGGCUGACUGUGCAGAGUGGCCUGGCUGGAUGUCCUCACUGUGAGCCACCAGAGCAGGUCAGGGAGGUGUUGGAGCAAUCACAGCAGUGGUUUGGGGUGGUGAGGGCAGAAACAGAGAGAGCAGCAACCUGACAGUGCUGCUCCAGCCCACGUGUCUGGCACCCUGCCCUGCACAGCUCCACACCGCUGUCCUUGAUGGCACAUUUCCUGUGCGUUUCUCCCUUCCUACACACAUUUCACCCUUCCUGACUCUCAUCCUAACAACAGGCACUUUGUCAAGUUCCCAGUUGCCUGCUGGGAUUAACACAGUAGCUCUGAUUUCUUAAGGCAGGGAGAUUUCCUGGUUAAAACUGUUCUAAUUAAACUUACAUCUCUCAUAAUGCUAAAAAUGCCCCCGUGUGAAAGGCAGCUGAAUCUGCUUGUAAAAUGUCAGUGCCCAAAGACCUUUAAUGGUCUUGGGAGUCUAACAAUAGUAUAGAUAGUGCCUGUUCAAAGAUAAGGGCUCCAGGCAAAUGGAAGAAGGAAGCAAAUAUAACAUUCCCCCGAAUCAGACAUCUUAGACAAAAAUCUUCCAAGUACAAAACACAUCUGGCUGGGUAUUUGUCAAGUAUUUUAUUGGCUUGAAUUUCACACACACACACACACACACACAGAGCUCACAUCAACUCCUUUCCACUGUAGAUCUGGGUGGGCACCUCCAUUUUCCUUUUAGGACUCAAUUUUGGACCUGGGGAAAAGUGUUCUCAGUCAAAAGGCCUCCAAGCAAGCCAGGGCUGGUCAUAGAGGAGAGCAACAGCUGCGGGAAUUUAAAUUCCUCUCCCCACCCUCCCAAACACGCCCCUCAGUCCUCUGCCUGGAGGAGCCAGAGGGAGGAAUGUCCAGCUCCCCUCCCUCCCUGCCAGCUCCACUGGCAUUUCCUAUUACACACCAAUUGCAUGUGAGGAGCCAACACCACAAAGUGCUUUUUCAUGUGGGCAGCGGAGCUGUGGUGGAACCAAGGCUCUCCUUUGGUCACCACCCCCCCCCAGAUGUUCGUGACACUUUUGUACUCCCCUUUAUGCAACACGUCAGGCGUCCGUGAUAAUUUACUGCCACAGGAACCGCUUCCUGCACGCUGCGAGCCACGAGCCUUUCCGGACUGCUGGCAGGCACUGAGCAGGGAAAGGGAGAGACAACGAGCAGGGGAAGGUGUCGGGAAGCAAAGAGAACCCUGUUCUCCAUCAGCAGCUCCCAGGAGAGAGAGGGGGAGAAAAGCAGCGAUGGCUUUGUGGAUUUAGUAGAAACCAACUUCAGUUAGGAGCUAGCAAUGGGCUGCCCUCAUGAAGGUGAAAAUAGCAAAAAUAUCUGGAAAGGGUAUCUUAAUUUAAAACUUACCUUAAAAAAAAAACAACUCCCCCAAAAAAACUAAAGUACAAAAAUAAAUCAGAAAGUAGACAAAGAUAAGAAUGGAGCCUGCAGGAAUCAAGUCUGAACAAAAGGCAGGGGCUGUGAAAGGAGAAAACCACAAAUGGCAGGGGUUGAAAUGUAAAACCUACAGUUCACUGUGAAACAUGAAGGAUGCCGUUGUAUUCCACACCUCCUCUUCCCGGGUGUAGCUGUCUCCACAAGAUGAAGGGCAGUAAUGAAUCAAGCUCCUUCCCUCUUCCUGUAUUUUCUAUUCAAUUAUUCGCAGGCUGUGCAAGUUCUGCUUUAUUUCCCCUCUCCAUAUGCCACACUCUCCUCCUGGGGUUUUUUUAUUCCAAACUGUGCAUUUGGCCUCUCUCCCAUUCCUUUCUCCUUGGUGUGUGCCCCCUGCUCUGCCAGGAUCUGCUGUCUUUGUAACCUCUGCUGUGCACAUAUGCUGGCUCUGCCCUCCCCUACUGCCCCCCCCUGCUCCUGGGCCACCGAGUGUCCCUUCGCUCCACUCGGCAUCGGAGCCAGCCAGGAAAGGAAUGAUGUUCCUAAGGCCAUUGCUCCCGUUUCCAUGCUGCCGGCUCCUCUCCACUGAUCAAGGGGAACCCAUGUUGCUCCCCUUGUACAGAGACAGCUCUGCAGCUGCUUAGCAACUGGGAGCUGCCGUGAUGCAGCGGCACAGAAAGGCGAUGGAUGGCACAACUUCCCUGAUCCUGCCCGUUCUGGCCCACUCUGCUGCAAACCAGGGCUUGGGGAGCAGCUGGGGCACUCCCAACUGCCCUGUCAGACAAUAAAUCAAGAUGCAAAUCCUUAACUGCAGGUUAGAGAGCAAUGGUGACAGUGUCAAGGGCAAAACAGUCUUGGUCUUGUGUCACAUCACACCAGCGAGAAGAAACUGCUCUGAUUUGUAAGCUCAACUCAUUCCAUUUGAUCUUUGUCAUCAGUUUCUGGCUAAAACGUUUUAUACUCCAUCACUUGUAAUCAGAACAUUCCCUGUAUGUGCUGCAUGUGUUAAAAAGGCUUCCAGGUCCCCAGCUACCAUCACAUCCAGACUGUUUAAUGAUGUGUCCAGAGACACAAGUAAUUUAAUGCAUAAAUAUCCUUUUAGAUGACUUAUUUGUAUCUUCAUUUCCUUUUGAUGCAAGCUUUGUAAGCGCCCAGCUUCUCUAAAUGGUACAUUCUUUUCAUUCCUUUUCUUUUUUUUUUUUUUUGUAAAACUGUACUGUUCAGAGGCCAUGAAGCACUGAACUGUUUUGUGAUUUGAUGGCUUUAGAAUGCUGAUUAGAAUUGCCAACCUUCUUGAUUUAUUUCAUGAUUUUUAUAAGCUUGAAAGCAUUCUAAAAAAUAACCGGUUCUACAUCCUGAUGGGAUCACAGUGUUUCAAUAGCAGCUGCAUUUCAAUGGGCAAGAAGCAACACAAAACAUUCUGCAAGUCAGGUGUUGAAACAGCUUCUUUAUUCCUUAAUAGCUCAAGAAUGAUUAGAUCUCUGAAAGCACUCACUCCCUACCUUACAGAGGUGGCUUUGUCAUAAUACUAACAGGUAUAAAAUGAACAGAUCUAGCUUAAAAAGUAACAAAAAAAAAAACCAUCUCUGGCAAAUAUCCAACAUGUCCAUCAAAAAAAAAAAGUAGAUAUUUGUUCCACUAUUGGGUAUCACCACGUAUCUCUGUACCCCAGCAGCCAAACAACACAGCCAAGUAGUGAUUCCCUGUCAUUGUUCAAGGCUCACAUCCCAUGUACCCUCAGAGCAUGCUGGGACACAGGUGAAAUCUGUCAGGAGGUUGCUUAUUUUGGUUGACAAUUCCCUAGACAGAUCAUCUGCUGUUCUCAGGAAGAAAUGGAAAAUUUCAUGGCAAGAAAAACUGAACAGGCAAAUACCAUGUCCAUAUUCCUACUCAAUAUUCCUUCGAUAUUCUUAGCUUGGUUUCCUAAAAAUAAAACUGUCUAAUGUGACUGUGUAGUUCUAUGUCAUUUCCCCCCCUCCAAUCUCAAUCAAAUUUGGCAGUGGGGAAGGAGUCUCAAAUGUAUUUAGGUCUUGAACGAACAGCUGAGUAGAGAAUACAUAGUAGAGGCACCACCUCUAAAAAAAGCCAUCUAACAGGAAGGUCUCAAAAUGCACUUUGUAACCACUGUGUCCUAGAGGCGUCACCUCUCCUUUAUGGGUCUGCAACCACCUGUUUCGGGCCUUAGGUUAUUUAAUGGCUACAUAAUAGACACCACGGCAAGCAAACGUUGCAGUGUGCUUCCUGGCUCCCUUCCAGCUCCUAAACUGGGCUUUCUUCCCAUGAAACUGGGGUGUGGCAAGGGAUGUUGUACAACCAGACCUCCUCCUGACACAAUAUUGACACGGCUCAGGUGUGUGUACACACACCCGGAACCAGGAAACACCCACAGUGGAGACACAACCAGUUGUUUAUCUGGAGAAAAUACAAAAUCACGACCAACCAACUUGGUAGGUGACAUUUUGCAGUAGCAGGAGGGGGUAAUUAAGAAAAAUAAUUAAAAAAAAAAAAAAGCCAUUGCAAGCAAGAACGUUAAGGGCUUGUCCUUUUCAAGAGGAACAAGUGUAAAGCCAUACAUGCAGAACAAAGAGCACAAACCUACAGCACAGGGUUGUCAUCCUAAGAAGGAGCAGAUCUGAGAGUAUUUUAGGAGCCGUGCUGGGAAACCAGCUGAACACGGGCUGGUGUAAUCCCUGGAUUCCUGACAGAGACAGCUCGGCCAGGAGGGCUGUUGGCUUGGGUCUGAUCUCUGCCGAGGGCUCCAUCCCCUUCUGCCCAGAUCAAAAUGGUAACAAACUGUAGCGUUCACAGGCAGGAACAAUUCCAGGAUUAGUAAAGAUGGACCCGAGGGGGAGCUCUGCAGUCUGCAAUGGAGUAUCAAAUGCUCAGCCUGAGCACAGUUACACAGGGAUGAAAAUCUGCCCAUGGAGCAUUCCUCCAGCAAGCAGACUGAAGGGCAGAGACAUCCAGCAACUGAAAACAGAAACUAGACAAGUUUAAAAAGGUACUUUGAUUUCUAGUCUGACAGGUAGAUUUUGAUGGAAAAAAUUUACUCUUAUUUUACUCCCUCUCACAGCCCAUUUUAAAAUGAAAAUCUGACCUUUAUCUAAGAUGCAGGCAUGCUGCAGUUAAAUUCUUUCAAAUGAGAAAAAGCAACAAAUUCACAAAAAUCCCGAGACCUACAUAAUGCAGGAAGUCGAACCAGAUGAACCUUGGUCUCUUUUGUCUUUUAUAAUCUGUUAAUCUAGUUUCCUUGCACAAGCAAUGGAUUGUGACUUGAAAAGCUUCAAUAUAAAGGAUUCUGUGUACAAGGCAGUCUAAAACAAAAUGUUGUAAACAGUCAGGAUCAUUGUUUAGCAGAACAGCUGCAUAUUUUUUAUUUCACUUUGCCUCUCAAUCUAAUUUGCUCUUGUUGCAACACUUUGCCAAAGAAAUUAAAUCACUUCUUAUUGAUAACAGACAGUGAUAUAAUUAGCAUAAGAGUUUUCCACUCAACAAUGCCGGGGAGGGACGCUGCGGGCAAGAACAAACCCCUUUGCUUCAAGAAUGUGCACAGAGUCACCACAAGCUGUUCAGAGAAAAAAAACCUUUUUUUUUUCUCCUUCUCCCUGAAAGAUCUCUUUCUUUAUCUAAAGAGUCUCAUGCAGCACACCAGGGUCAGUCUAACCCAAGUAUGAAAGUCUGGUUUGACCUUUCUGGGAUUUAAACACGCUGUACCAGAACAUUUUGCUUUUCAGAUACGAGGUUCAGCAGCCAUGAAACCACCCACUCUGAGAGCACAACCGGUCUCAACUGCCUUGGCGACUUUUAAACUACAUUGAACAUUAUAGUCAUUCAGAAACUCUAAAAAACGGAAAGAAAUUUUCAUCUCAGACUUACAAAAACCAUUUCCAGAAGUGCUGAGGACCCAUACAAUUCACUGGGGGGGCACGGCAGGCUCGCUGUCCAGCCCCCGCUGCCCCAGCAAUUUCUGGCCCUGGUUUGCACGUACGCAGAGCCAGGCACAGGCGUUAGGACCUCUCCCAGCUGGAGCACUUCAUGGAUCCUACCAUCGGGAACAGCCGUCCUGGACAAUGAUUAAUCGCAGACAAAGAUCAGAGUCCUGGAAAAAUAUGCAGAGAGAUGCAAGUACAGACAAAGCUGUCUAAGCUCCCACAGUAUUAUGGUCUGGCUGUGUCGCUUCAAAGCCUUGCGUUAGGCAGAGCUGGUUUGCUUCAGGGUUAAACAGACCAAUGUUACUCGUAAAGGCAGGUAUUGCUAACAGCCAAAUAUAUAUUUAAACAUAAAUUUUAAAUCCCAGGAAAGUUAAUAGCCCGAUGCCGUUUAAAACUUGUUUUCUUUUUAAUCGCUUCACGUGCUGACUUAACUCACUACGAUGCAAGCUGCAGAAACGUUUUCACUACAGUUCAAACCCCCCUGCAAAGCCGAGCCCAGCUCUGCGCCGUACUUUGAUCUACACGUCGCCAGCUUCGGCCAUUUCCAGGAAGCUGAAAUGCUUUUCACCUCUAUUGAGAAAUACCAGAGGAGCAUUUUAAUGGUGUUCUGCUAAGAAUAACGUCACCGUUCCUUCCGAUUUUGCUGGCAGAUGGUCACUGAGAGCCGCUGUGACCCAGGCUCAGCGCUGGCUCCAGCGGCUCGGGCGGCCCCGGCCCGGGAGCCCCCGACGGGGCUCACAGCGCUGAGGCAGCGCUUCAGAGCCAGCCUGGCACUGCGGAAACGCUUUUGUUGGCUGUUUUUGUUGGUAUUUUUUUCCCCCUCCAUGGAAACGUGUUCUGUUUUGUGCGGACGGUUUGUCGCUUGUUCUCGACAGAGCCUGACCCGGUGAGGAGCGAGGGGGGGAGCGAGGAAUGGAGCGAUGAGCGCAGUCGUUGCGAAAGGCGCGGGGCUGCGGUGCCUCCUUCGCGGCAGCACCCAGUGCUCUCCCUCGCAGGGGAACAGCCCUGAGCCUCGGCACAUACCACAGCACAGGCUGUACAAACCCACGGAGCGGCUGGUUCUGAGCCGCAGGAACUGCGGGCAGGGCGCGCCCUGCCCGGCACAUGCCGCUCCCGCAGGCAGCCUCUGCCAAGCAGCCACUUACCUUCUCCCUCCCUCAGGGUCCGCAGGACGGUCCUGCUCUAGCCUUACCAGGGAGGCCACCUCUCUACAGUGUUUGCUUUUCCUCCCUGUCCUGCCCUCUGAAGUGGUUGCUCAAGCCAGGCUUUCCUGGCUCACCUACUCUGGGUCUGCAGUGAGCACGAGCUGCAACUCCCCGCAGAGCACAGCGAGGCUUGUGAAGCUCCGAGAUAACCCCCAGCCUCCACCCAAAGCUGAGCUGCAGCAGAAUCUGCUCAGGAGACGGAAAAAAAAAAAAAAGGCAAAGAAAAAAAAAAAAAAAGACGGCACAUGUAACACCUCGGCGGGCCAUGGCGGCUCCACUGCAGCACAGCCGGGCCCGCGAGCUCGGCGCUGCAGGCCGGAGGAGGCAGGACAGCGGCUGCCCCGGCUCGGCGAUGGCGGAGCGGGGGGGGAACAGCCCAGGAGGGGCAGAGAAGAAGAACAACAAAGAGCCAUGUGACGGGAGCGGCGGCCGCGCUCCCCCGGCAAACCCGCUCCGGGCGGGGAGGCGGCGGCGCCGCCCGGCCCCUCCCGCGGCCAGCGCUGCAGCUGCCCCCCGUCCCCCCACACUGCCCAGGCUUUGAAUUUGGUGGCUUUUUUGUGUGUGUAUUUUAUUUUUUUGCGUGUGGGGAGCCGCUGUUUGUUCCUCUUUAACUCCCCCCUCCCUCCCCUCUGCGCUAGGCGACUUCCAUCUUUUGCUGUUUAUAAAGCGAGCGGGAGGCUGCGGCGGGGGAAGGGCAGCGUUAUUUAUAGCACCGGGGCUGCGCCGGCUUUAUCGGAGCUGCCUUUGUCCUCCCGGCCGGCUACCCCCCCGCCCGGCCCGGCUGGAGCGCCGCCAGCGCCGCUGCCGCAGGGCGCUCCCGCCAUGUUGUGCGCGGGGAGAAAGAGCCGCCGCUCCCUUCCACAGCCCCUCACAAAGCGCUGGGGGAAGGGGAGGGGGGGCGGGAAAGGGGAGAGAAAGGAUAAAAAAGAAAAAAAAAAAAAAACAACAACCACCCCAAACCCACCAUUUCCCUGCAGCGCUCGGGACGCCGCCAGGCAGCGGGGGAGAGCCCGCCGCGCCGCGCUGAGGAGGACGCCGAAGGGAAGGAGAAGCCAUGAUGGCGGCUGUCCCCACACAGCACGGAGCGCGACCGGGAGCGCCGUGCCCGCCCGCCGGCCGCCCCUCCCGCCGCCCGGGACACGGUGCUGCCGCAGCCUCUCACAUAAUAAACCCACCAGACUUCGGCGGGGAGGCCAUUUCGUGGGCUGGGUGGCGGCACUAAAGCACAACUGCUUGUGAAUAUCAACUGCGUCACGGCUCCUCCAUCUGUAACACUCAGGCUGCAAAGGGUCCCUCACUUGGAAGGAAACUCCCUCAUUUUGGAUUUACUUCCAGACCUCCUUUUCCCCCCCUCUCUCCAAGUCACUGCCUCUCGGUAUGAAGGAUUUUACAGUGCUUUCUAGUGAGACAUCCGCCAUUAAGACUCACCGUCGUGAAAAACACCCCCUCCCAUUUUGUUGCCUGUUUUUGUCGAGCUUCUGUAAUUAGACGGAUAAAACAUGUAAGGGAUCCCUACCACCACCACCACCGCCUUCUCGCCUUUUUUAACGUCAACCUCACUAACAUCUUACUGUUUCACAGGCAGAUUUUUUAUUUUUUUUUGGUGCUUUCAAGUUAACAGCCACGUAACGCCUGCAAUGGAUCCACAGCGUUUCUCCGCAUAAAAAACCAAACCACCCAGGGCUGAGGAUGGACCAAGAGCUUUGUGCAGAAAGAGAAAUCAAAUCCCUCCCUGAGAACAGACGUUUCAGAGGCACUGUUAGAUGUUUCUGAGGAGAAGGAGAUCGCCACCGCUUUCAGACGACCAUUGGGAUCUUUCCACCCAGGACAAUACCAUUAGCCACAGGCCUGGGCUAUAUGUUCCUCUGCAAGGGCAAAAGGGUUUUACUUACUUACCCGCGCACCAUAGUUGAAUGCAGCUCUGAAGGUGAAGUUGUUACUCUUUUUUAAAAUAACGGCUAUAAAUAUGUAUGAUCUGUAUCACCA